rnacentral:rRNA from 1 species
CUACGGGUGGCACCAGUGAGGAAUAUUGCACAAUGGGGGGAACCCUGAUGCAGCAACGCCGCGUGGAGGAUGACGCAUUUCGGUGUGUAAACUCCUUUUAUAUGUCAAGAAAAUGACGGUAGCAUAUGAAUAAGCACCGGCUAACUCCGUGCCAGCAGCCGCGGUAAUACGGAGGGUGCAAGCGUUACUCGGAAUCACUGGGCGUAAAGGACGCGUAGGCUGUUUAGCAAGUCAGAUGUGAAAUCCAAGGGCUCAACCAUUGAACUGCAUUUGAAACUGCUAGACUAGAGUAUGGGAGGGGCAGAUGGAAUUAGUGGUGUAGGGGUAAAAUCCGUAGAUAUCACUAGGAAUACCUAAAGCGAAGGCGAUCUGCUGGAACAUUACUGACGCUAAGGCGUGAAAGCGUGGGGAGCAAACAGGAUUAGAUACCCCUGUAGUC